rnacentral:rRNA from 1 species
UACGUAGGGUGCAAGCGUUGUCCGGAAUUAUUGGGCGUAAAGAGCUCGUAGGCGGUUUGUCGCGUCUGCUGUGAAAAUCCAGGGCUUAACCCUGGACCUGCAGUGGGUACGGGCAGACUGGAGUGCGGUAGGGGAGAUCGGAAUUCCUGGUGUAGCGGUGAAAUGCGUAGAUAUCAGGAGGAACACCGGUGGUGCAGACGGCUCUCUGGACCGUAACUGACGCUGAGACACGAAAGCGUGGGUAGCAAACAGG